AGUGAACGCUGGCGGUAGGCCUAACACAUGCAAGUCGAACGGCAGCACAGUAAGAGCUUGCUCUUACGGGUGGCGAGUGGCGGACGGGUGAGGAAUACAUCGGAAUCUACUUUUUCGUGGGGGAUAACGUAGGGAAACUUACGCUAAUACCGCAUACGACCUACGGGUGAAAGCAGGGGAUCUUCGGACCUUGCGCGAUUGAAUGAGCCGAUGUCGGAUUAGCUAGUUGGCAGGGUAAAGGCCCACCAAGGCGACGAUCCGUAGCUGGUCUGAGAGGAUGAUCAGCCACACUGGAACUGAGACACGGUCCAGACUCCUACGGGAGGCAGCAGUGGGGAAUAUUGGACAAUGGGCGCAAGCCUGAUCCAGCCAUACCGCGUGGGUGAAGAAGGCCUUCGGGUUGUAAAGCCCUUUUGUUGGGAAAGAAAAGCAGCAGGUUAAUACCCCGCUGUUCUGACGGUACCCAAAGAAUAAGCACCGGCUAACUUCGUG
rnacentral:rRNA from 1 species